CCCCAAUAUUAGCUAUAACCCCCCAAAAUGUCCACCCCUCCAAAAAAAUUUUCAAGCCCCCCCCAAUAUUCGGCAUAAUAAAAAAUAAUUAAAUAAUCCACUCCAACGUGCAGAGUGUUGAUGAUACAAAAUAAACGUAGGAGUACACUCAAAUAGAAAGCAAUAUUAUUGGAGCAAUUGUAAAGUUUUGAAACUCUAUUAUCUCCCCUGAAUAGAGUUUGCAGUGCCUUGUCAUGCAAAUAGCUUGCUUGCAAGGAACGUUUGGAAUUUUUACAAACAUUAUUUUUCGUUUUUAAUUCUUUUAGGUUUGUAAUUCGUUUUUAAUUCUUUUUAAUUUUUUAAUUCGUUUAUAAAAGUAAAAGCAUAUUGUGUAUUGGCCUAUUGGGUUUACACUUUUACAGGUUCAUUUAACUUUAACUCUCUCAAGUCUCAACAGACAAUCGGACACAGGGCCGUAGCGAGGGUGUGUUAGGGGGGGGGGGGGUGUGGUUAACCCCCCAACUUUUGUAGAAUUAACAUAUUUGGAAAAUCGGGUUGGCCAUUC